GGGGUCGGUUCUGAACGGAGCGGAGGAGACCGGAGCACCAGGCCCUGGAGGGGAUCAGACGAGCCCUCUGAUGGAGCGCCUCGGGGGGACGUCCUCAGACAUUGAAGCAGCCAUCUCCCUGAGAAUGAAAGACAACGAUGAAGACGGCAGGGGAGUCUGCGGCCUGAUGGCUCAUGGAUGUUCUCCAGAACCACUGGCCCCUCCUCAGGAUACUGGGACCAGUGAGCCUGACCAGCAGGUCCCCCCCGCAGACUGGAGGCCGCCCUGCCUGGACGGGGAGGACUCAAUGUACUCCGCAGGGGAGCACAGAGAAGAGCUGUCCGUUCUGCUGGUACUGCGGGGAUGGUGGACGGGGAGGUAUGACCUCACGGUGGGAACCCCCUCGGACCAAUCACGACGCAGAGCGGCGCGACGGCUCUGCAGAGUAUGAGCUCUCAUUAAAACCCCAAAGUCAGGAGUUCGGCCCCGGGAGGAU
ensembl:lncRNA